AUUGAACGCUGGCGGCAUGCUUUACACAUGCAAGUCGAACGGUAACAGGCCGCAAGGUGCUGACGAGUGGCGAACGGGUGAGUAAUGCAUCGGAACGUGCCCAGUCGUGGGGGAUAACGCAGCGAAAGCUGCGCUAAUACCGCAUACGAUCUCUGGAUGAAAGCGGGGGACCGAAAGGCCUCGCGCGAUUGGAGCGGCCGAUGUCAGAUUAGGUAGUUGGUGGGGUAAAGGCCCACCAAGCCAACGAUCUGUAGCUGGUCUGGGAGGACGACCAGCCACACUGGGACUGAGACACGGCCCAGACUCCUACGGGAGGCAGCAGUGGGGAAUUUUGGACAAUGGGCGCAAGCCUGAUCCAGCAAUGCCGCGUGCAGGAAGAAGGCCUUCGGGUUGUAAACUGCUUUUGUACGGAACGAAACGGUCCGGGUUAAUACCCUGGGCUAAUGACGGUACCGUAAGAAUAAGCACCGGCUAACUACGUGCCAGCAGCCGCCGUAAAAC
rnacentral:rRNA from 1 species